AGCGAACGCUGGCGGCAUGCUUAACACAUGCAAGUCGCACGGGCAGGGGAAACUCUGUCAGUGGCGGACGGGUGAGUAACGCGUAGGUAUCUAUCCUUGGGUGGGGGACAACUGUGGGAAACUACAGCUAAUACCGCAUGAUAACUGAGGUUUAAAGGCGCAAGUCGCCUGGGGAGGAGCCUGCGUACGAUUAGCUAGUUGGUGGGGUAAAGGCCUACCAAGGCUACGAUCGUAGCUGGUCUGAGAGGAUGAUCAGCCACAUUGGGACUGAGACACGGCCCAAACUCCUACGGGAGGCAGCAGUGGGGAAUAUUGGACAAUGGGCGAAAGCCUGAUCCAGCAAUNCCGCGUGUGUGAAGAAGGUCUUCGGAUUGUAAAGCACUUUCGACGGGGACGAUGAUGACGGUACCCGUAGAAGAAGCCCCGGCUAACUUCGUGCCAGCAGCCGCCGUAAU
rnacentral:rRNA from 1 species